UACUCAUAUUCUGAAUACAUAUCCAAACUUCUCGGGCACACUUCCUCCAUUAAAUCUCAAUUUGGUGAUCCCUGUUUCACCCAUUUCCUAAAUACAUACCUCUUCAUGUUUAGAGUUUGACAAGUCGAAAUGUGUUUCCUACUCCCACACAGCAACAGUGUGCUCUUGGCAUUUGAUCAAUGUCAAGGCCUGAUCACUUCAUCGGACCAUAACUACGACGAAUCUUGGAUGUUGGAUCUCGGAUUUUGCCUUGGCCAAAAUGUGAUCAAUAAAAAGUGAAAUAAAUAAAAAUGAAUCGAAGACGACAAAGCCAGAAAGAAAUUGCCAAACAGAAAAGUUUUGUUGAAUGAAAUUCACGCAAGAUCGGACUUUUGACCAUUCAACAUUCAGAAGGGAACGACGCACAAUGAAGUGGAAAAGAGGGUCUUCUGCUGGCUGUCUUGUAGCAACAAAAUAAUUUAUUGAAAUUCAAAUUUAUUAUCUUCCAUUCUCCCCCUCCUCCUCCGCCACCGCCACCACUUUGAACCGUCCAAAAUCGGGCUUGUCCAGGUCGAAAGAGAUUUUUCGGUGCCGGGCAAAACCAAUUCAGCUGGAAUGCAGGCCCAAAGACAACACAUUUGGCCCAGAGCGUAAAACGAAACGAAACAAUCAAGAAUGAGUGUAGAAAUUCCACAAUGAGCCCACGCAGGGACGCCUUUCGGGGCACCAAGAUGGCAUGGCAUGGCGGGGAUUGGGGAUUGGGAUUGGGAUUCCGGAUCGGAGUAAUCAACGUUUAGCCAAACGGAUUAAGCCGAGAGCCCUCUGUGCUGCUAUAAGCAAAUAUAUGUAAAACCGUAUGCCCAAAACCCCUGCACCGCACUCUAUAUGGGAGCCAAGUGGGCGGGGUUGGACUCUUGGUGGCAUAUUGGGGGUAUGGAGCUGCCAUCGGGGGGUACGAGUGGGUUUCUGAAGAGUGACCGACCGCAAACAGUUUGAAAGCCCCCGCUCUGAAAAACAGGCAGCCGCUGUAACGCGUGCUAAACAAGUUUCUCGAUCGGUUCCAAGAGCGCGUCUUUGUCUUUUGUCUUGCCCAAGUACCCUGUAAAUGGAGUCAGAAUAAAGGUAUAUGGGUACUUGGGGG
rnacentral:sRNA from 1 species